rnacentral:rRNA from 1 species
AUGUACAUUCCUACAUCAUAACAUUAAUGCACUAGAUCUCAUUAGAACUCUGCAAUUAAGUGCACUAUGAUAGAGUAGUAUCGGUAUGGUUGACCACCUAGGAAGUCCUAGUGUUUUACAUG